rnacentral:rRNA from 1 species
CACGUAGGGCGCGAGCGUUGUCCGGAAUUAUUGGGCGUAAAGAGCUCGUAGGCGGCCUGUUGCGUCCGCUGUGAAAGCCCGGGGCUUAACCCCGGGUCGGCAGUGGAUACGGGCAGGCUAGAGGUGAGGUAGGGGAGAAUGGAAUUCCCGGUGUAGCGGUGAAAUGCGCAGAUAUCGGGAGGAACACCGGUGGCGAAGGCGGUUCUCUGGGCCUUACCUGACGCUGAGGAGCGAAAGCGUGGGGAGCGAACAGG